UUAUUUUUUUUACCUCUCGCUUUUCUUUCUCAGGCCCAUAAUGAGGAUCUUACAGCCAGAGAGACCUGCAAGGCUGGGUUCUCUGAAGAUGAUUACACAGCUUUAAUCUCCCCCAAUAUUCUGCAGGGAGAGAAGCUCCUCAAAGCAAACCACAGCUCAGAAGCACGGGAGUUGCUGCCUCUUUGACCUCACUCCCUGUGGACUGCUUACAGAGAUGGUCAC
rnacentral:lncRNA from 1 species